GACGAACCGGCCGAACGUUAUUCGGAAUCAUUGGGCUUAAAGGGUGCGUAGGCGGCGCGGUCAGUCGGGUGUGAAAUCCCUCGGCUCAACCGAGGAAUUGCGCCCGAUACUACCGUGCUCGAGGGAGACAGAGGCGAGCGGAACUGAUGGUGGAGCGGUGAAAUGCGUUGAUAUCAUCAGGAACACCAGUGGCGAAAGCGGCUCGCUGGGUCUCUUCUGACGCUGAGGUACGAAAGCUAGGGGAGCGAACGGG
rnacentral:rRNA from 1 species